rnacentral:lncRNA from 1 species
GCAACACAAUGUACAAAUAUAGAGGUUUGUAUACGAGAAUGAGCUAUAGCAAGUUAUAACGAUAUAAGAAGAUGUGAUAUGAGUGCCAAUGAAUCAACUCUCCAUCGAAGUCACAAUUUGUAAAAGUAAACUACAAUAGGUCAAAGUAAGGUCUUCAAUACGCAGCCUUUGCUCAAAACGAACAGCAAGCUAAAAAGGACCCCAAAAAGGACUAACAUAUAUGAAACAUUCAAAUGGGAAAACCAACAUUCUAUAAAUCUAUAUAAAAAAAUGAGAAAUGAUAAACAAUUAUGAACCCCUGUCAUUUAAAAAGUCUGAAUCGUCCAAGAAUGCCAAAAAAUCCUAGCAUUCCAAAAUAUAAUACUACAAAUAAAUUAAAAACAAAAACCGUGGCAAAUUAAACUAUGACAAACUAUAUAAAAAAAAAAAAAAAACUCACAAAAACACAACCGAUAAUGACAGAUACCAC